UAUACUCAAACUAUGGAAUGACUUGAGUUUCUUGGUCUGACUUGGGGAUCUAAGUUGUGAAGAGAGGAAGCAUUUCUUUUUUCUUUUUCAGGAAAGGAAGUUUUAAAACUUAGAGACUUUGGGAAUGGGUAUACUAAUUUUCUAAGGCUGCCACAACAAAGUACCAAAGACUGGGUGGCUUAAACAACAAAAUUUUCACAAUUCUGAAGGCUACAAGUCCAAGAAUUGGAAGGAUAAAGCAUAGAAAUCCUCGAAAGAACAUGUCUGAGAAGGAAGUGAACACAUAAAACAGCAAGAAUGAAAUACAAAUAAAGAUGGAUUCCUGGACCUAGCUGUACCUGAAGAAGGAGUAUAUGGAAUGAGGAAAGCAGAGGACCAAAUCUCAAGUUCUGGGCAACGUCAAUAUCAACUUUGAAGAGGAGAGAGAGAUUAGAAGAACUGAUGAAGUAUCCCAAGUGAAGAGAUGGGUCAGAGAGAUGGAAAAGAGGAGAGCGAUGCUUCUGACCACACCUGAGGACCAUGCAUGUUCUUUCCUGAAGUGUUUCUUGAAUUAGGAAGCUAAAAGUCUCCUUUGAGAAUCACUUUCAAUUAUCCACAGAAUUGAUCUGAGAGGCACACAGAUUCACCUAAAACAAGAACAGUUCUUAGGUUGGAUAACUCAAGUCAGGAAUGGUGGUACUGUUUCAAGAUAAAGUAAGCACAAUGUCAAACUUCAAGUAUAGCAUUGAAUAAUCCAGAGAGGUCAGGAUGCUGAGGAGAGACAGUACUCAUUGGAGUUGGUAGCGUGUACCUCCUAAGCUGUUUCAAGGAAUGAUAAGAAAGAAAUAAUUUACAAUAGGUCUGGGGACCGUUAGGAAAAAAAAAUAGAGAGUAGAAACUAAGUGUGGAUUUCUCUUUACUAAAAAAGAAGAGACAGAAAGAAAGGGCAGGGUUUGCACAGUCUGAGGAAGUGUGUGUGUGUG